AUGGUGACCACGCCGGAAACACCGCACAGCUCCAUGGGCACGAACGCCCGCGCCGUUGCCACCUUCACCAAAUGCAACCGGUACAAUGCGCUACAAUGCACAUCAAAACAAUCAAUCGCUCGCACCCAGCUCCAGACCGUCCAUGACGGCUACUAUGCGGCGGGCGCUGGUGGCCGGCGUCAGGCUGCAGGUGCUGUACUCGUGCAAUUCGCCGUGUUCGCCUCCAACCAAACAGCGCUCGUGCUCUCACCGGUCACCUCCGGCCUCAACACGCUCGGCUCCACCGUUAGCAUCUACUUCAUCGAGGUCAUCGGUGAAGUCGGCCUUCAUCUCAAUAAAGGCCCUAUUUGGAUCUCUAAGUUAGAGUUAGUUUUACUCAAAGCCAGCGACCGGGCUAGAGAAUUCCAACCUCCAAUCCAAAGCCUCGCCCUCUCCUCGUCUUCCUCCCAGCAAGUAGUAGUAGCCUCCGAUUCCCUCCUCCCGCCGCCUCCUCAGAUCUGCGCCGCCGCGCCGCCUCCCCGCCAAUCCGUCGUCCUCAUCCCCGCCGCCAGCCGAGGAGUGGCGGCCGCCGCUUGGCUUCUUCCGUCCGGGGCCGGCGCUAUCGGCGACGGAGGCUGCCGGGCUCUUUCCGGACCGGCAAAUGGUUCCGGAGCUGGGGCUUGGAGGCUUCCGGUUCCGUGUGGUCUGCUGAUUGGGCCCAGCCGGGGUACGGUUUCGCUCUGCCGGCUCGAAUUGGAGGUUCCGAGUUACGCUGAAUUUUGUUUCGUCAGAGGAGCUGAUUUGGUGAAGUUGUUUCAGGCGGCGACUGAUUCUUGGGGGAACCACAAGUUUGCUUCUUUUGAUGAUUUCCUCCGCGCUCAGUUUCAGAUUAUAGAGCGUUUCUGGAUGAAACGGAUAGAUUUUACUGGGAUCAGAUACCGAGCUUCUGUCUUGUGUGCCAGCACCCUUCCUCCGCCAGAAAACAGGACUUCUGCAGCUGCUUUAGGCUGUUAACUCCGGUUGCCUUCUCCUCGAAAGGUUUGACCUUUUGAGUCGAGUUCUUGUGCCCAUGAUGAACUGCUGAUCUAGGAUUCUUGUGUCACUGUAUCAAAAGCAGUCUCCUGUUCAGAUUCUGCCUAUUAAAUCAGUCCUUGUGUUGCACUACCAAGAUUCUGCUCUGAAAGGACACACGCUACUGCCGUCCUUUUUAUCUGUCCCCAACACAGUGCACUGAAACCUUAAUUGUCCCACAGGAGUGGAUAAGUGUCUGGAACCAAUCGAGUGCAGCAAAGCCAUGGAUGUGCCUCUGCCUUCACAGUCCAACCGUGCUGGAUGCAAUGGAAGCGUCGGCAGCCCGUCGGAUGAUCCAUAUGGCGUUACGGCCAUGAUGAACUUUGAUGGGUACUCAGAGCUCUGCGGCAGCCCUUCGUUAGCUGACCAGCUGUUCUCGUUGCUGAACGACUCGUCCACACACCAGAUGUUUGCUAUGUGGUCAUCCUUGGGAUCUUCGCCGCGUGCUUCUGGUGUCAGUGAAGAUAUGCAGCUCGAUGCCUAUUCCAGUGUACCCGGGGAUCAAAAGGUUGAUUUGGUAUCUUCGGUGAAUCCAGCUGAAACUGGGACCGGGAGAAUGGCCAAGAGUUCAGGCGACCUUGGCUCAGAUGGUGAUCCCGAACAAGGAAGUACUAGCUUGGUUCCCAGGCCUAUUGCCGGCAACUUACUCGCUGACAGGAUGCUCAUGGCUCUGUCUUUGUUCAGGAAGUCACUUGGCGGCGGCAUUCUUGCGCAGGUCUGGAUGCCUGUUGAGCAGGAGGGGCAUGUCGUGCUUAGUACAUGUGAACAGCCGUUUCUGCUUGACCAAGCUCUUGCUGGGUACAGAGAAGUAUCCAGGCAUUUUGUGUUCUCUGCUAAGGAGGAGACUGGCCUUCAACCAGGGCUUCCAGGGAGGGUCUUCAUCUCCGGUGUGCCAGAAUGGACCUCAAAUGUGCUCUACUACAGCAAGCCAGAGUAUUUGAGGAUGGAGUAUGCUCUUCACCAUGAAGUUCGAGGAUCACUUGCAAUGCCGAUAUAUGACCCUAGCAAGGGCUCUUGCUGUGCGGUGCUUGAGCUUAUCACAAAGAAGGAGAAACCUGACUUCGAUGCAGAAAUGAACAACCUUCGCCAUGCAUUGCAGGCAAGUUCUAACUUGCUCCCCACCCCCUCCUUUAUUUAGUUAUGUUUAGCUGGGGACAAAAUAGUGAAUUUACCCAUGAAGGAGCAUUUUUACUUCCCACUGCAAUGUCUAUUAUCUUAUAGAUUUGUUCGUUAGUGUAUUUUACUAAUUUCAUGACAAGUAACAUGAACUGUCAUGUGGAUGCAAGUCCUCACUUCUGUUGGUGCCAUUUCUAGAUGCCAUGAAUAAAAGUAUAUACUGAAUUUUAAAUGCUUGUAUUCUGGCUACUGGUAUUCAUAUUGCACUGUCCAUGGACAAUGAUGGGUGUAUUAUUUUCUUGCACAAUCUGGAAUUUCUCUUGGCACUUACGUUUAAUACUUACCAUAUUACUCUUCUGUAGGCUGUGAACUUGGAGACAGCAAAAGAUUGUAUCGAUCAGAAGGUUUAUUCAGCAAAUCAGAAAGCCGCCUUCACUGAGAUUUUGGAUGUUCUAAGAGCUAUUUGCCAUGCACACAUGCUUCCGUUGGCCCUUACAUGGGUCCCUUCAUCAAAUGGUAGUGAUGGUGGUUAUGUUGGACAUGAUAGUGUCCUUGAUUCUCAGUCAGGGAAAGCGAUACUCCGCAUCCAUGAAUCAGCGUGUUAUGUUAAUGAUGCAAAGAUGCAAGGUUUUUUUCAUGCAUGCACUGAAACUCAUCUUGAGAAAGGGCAAGGUAUUGCAGGCCGAGCACUCAAGUCCAAUCUGCCGUUCUUCUCUCCUAAUAUAAGAGAAUACGGAAUUAAGGAUUACCCACUCGCACACCAUGCUCGUAAGUUUGGUCUGCAUGCUGCUGUAGCAAUCCGGCUAAGGAGCACAUACACUGGUGAUGAUGACUACAUACUAGAAUUCUUUCUACCAAUCAACUGCACAGGCAGUGAAGAACAACAGAUGUUAUUGAAUAACCUGUCCAGUACUAUGCAAAGAAUAUGCAAAAGUUUGCGAACAGUUUCUGAAGCAGAGGUUGAUAAAGUUGACGCUUGUACUGCAGUAAUGUAUAAGGCAACCAGUGGAAGUUGCUUGCCUACUGGUCAGUCUUGGAGUUCUUCACAUGGUGAUCAACCUGCCACAGAAGAGGCAUUCCAGGAUCUAUCUUUAAUUGAUAAGCAAGGGGACAUGUCCGAGCAGGCACAGUCUAGUUCAAUGCGACUUGCGGAGAAAAAGCGCAGUACAGCGGAGAAGAAUAUUGGCAUGGAUGUUCUCCGUAAGUACUUUUCUGGGAGCCUAAAGGAUGCUGCAAAGAGCCUCGGUGUUUGUCCAACAACCUUGAAACGGAUAUGCCGCACACAUGGAAUUUCGCGAUGGCCAUCUCGCAAGAUAAACAAGGUCAACCGUUCGUUAAAGAAGAUCCAAACUGUCAUUAACUCUGUCCAUGGAGUGGACAGCUCUUUGCAGUAUGAUCCAGCUACUGGAUCUCUUGUUCCAGCAGUUUCUCUGCCAGAGAAGACUUCAUUCCCUUCAUGUGAUGCUGUGUCUAGUCCAUCUGUUGGGAAAACUGUGGAUGAAAAAUCUGGCCCAAAAUCUGAGCAAGGGUAUUCGUCACCUGAAGGAUGGGAAAGAGAUAGCUGUCAGUUGCAGCGCUCUGAUGCGCAGAAAGGGGAAGGCGGUGAAUUUCACAUGCAGACAACUAACUAUAGUGGCAGUGGUGAUCACGGCUCUUAUGGUCCGAAUAUCACACAUCAUAUUAGUUCUGAAGGAACACAAGGACCAUUAUAUCCCACUGGUGCUGUUAGUGCUUUACAUGACAAAGAAACAGGUUGCAUCGAACCUUUGCCCUGUGUCCUCCCAAGCAUCAAGACUACCAGGGACCAAAUAGUGGGAAGGAACUCACCACCCAUGCAACAAGCAGAUAUUGAUAUGUUUGAUGAUCGCGAAGGCAGGGAGCAUACUCAUCCUUCUACCUCUGGUAUGACAGACUCUUCUAGCGGCAGUGCAUCAAGCCACCCUACAUUCAAGAAGAACCCAGCACGCCCACUUAAGGACAAGAGCAGCCCUGCACUUACGGUCAAGGCGACGUACAAUGGAGACACCGUGCGGUUCAAGUUCUUGCCAUCGAUGGGCUGGUACCACCUGCUGGAAGAAAUAGCCAAGAGGUUCAAGCUGUUGACCGGGGUGUUCCAGCUCAAGUACAAGGAUGACGAGGACGAGUGGGUCAUCAUGGCGAACGACUCCGAUCUCCAGGAGUGCGUCGACGUCAUGGACUCGAUGGGCACGCGCAACGUGAAGCUCCAGGUCCGGGAUCUCCCGUGCCUCAUCAGCAGCUCGGGCAGCAGCAGCUGCUUGCAGCUGGAAGGACACAAUUCAUGACACGGUGAGGAAGUGUAAAAAAGGAUCUUUUGUUACCCUCAACUGUAUCAUACUGCGGUAGGUGUAGUCUACGCUGUGUAGCAACAGGGUUUGGUAGUCUGUACUGUGCGCGUGUAGCGUGUUAUGUAGCGGCAAUGGCGAACAGGAAGUGUAGUGAUAGUCGUGCAGGCGCGACAGUGCAGGCACAAUGUCGUGCCUGCGAUGAAAGUGUCAUGGAGGUCCCUGAGAGGAUAUCAUGACAAUAACAUGUUGUCAUGAGGGUCUGCGGCGCCUAGCUGCCAAUGUUAAAACUCCUGGCUUUGUUAUGCAUGCCGGAGGAAACAAAUGCUUUUGAACUUCCCGUGGUUCCAAAUUCUCUGUUUGUUUAAACAUGUGAAUUUUCCAGUUCCACAUUGGUCGUUCGGAAUCGGGACACAUGAAACUGCCAGCUUGAAUCUGAUAGUUUUCUUAUGUAAUUUUGGUGAAACUCCUGGACCUCUUUAACCGGGCCUGGCUGACAAUCUUAUGCCCGUUCAACCUUACCAUGGAUAAUCUUUCAUGGAGGGACUGGCUCACAAUCUUAUCUCUGCUCACUAUGGAAUUCUAUCUGUUUUUCCUAUGCUGAGAUCGAGAUUAUCGCGG
rnacentral:rRNA from 1 species